GAUGAACGCUGGCGGCGUGCCUAAUACAUGCAAGUCGAGCGAACGGACGAGAAGCUUGCUUCUCUGAUGUUAGCGGCGGACGGGUGAGUAACACGUGGAUAACCUACCUAUAAGACUGGGAUAACUUCGGGAAACCGGAGCUAAUACCGGAUGAUAUUUUGAGCCGCAUGGUUCAAAAGUGAAAGACGGUCUUGCUGUCACUUAUAGAUGGAUCCGCGCUGCAUUAGCUAGUUGGUAAGGUAACGGCUUACCAAGGCAACGAUGCAUAGCCGACCUGAGAGGGUGAUCGGCCACACUGGAACUGAGACACGGUCCAGACUCCUACGGGAGGCAGCAGUAGGGAAUCUUCCGCAAUGGGCGAAAGCCUGACGGAGCAACGCCGCGUGAGUGAUGAAGGUCUUUGGAUCGUAAAACUCUGUUAUUAGGGAAGAACAUAUGUGUAAGUAACUGUGCACAUCUUGACGGUACCUAAUCAGAAAGCCACGGCUAACUACGUG
rnacentral:rRNA from 1 species